rnacentral:rRNA from 1 species
UAGGGAAUCUUCGGCAAUGGACGAAAGUCUGACCGAGCAACGCCGCGUGAGUGAAGAAGGUUUUCGGAUCGUAAAACUCUGUUGUUAGAGAAGAACAAGGACGUUAGUAACUGAACGUCCCCUGACGGUAUCUAACCAGAAAGCCCCGUCUAACUACGUGCCAGCAGCCGCGGUAAUACGUAGGUGGCAAGCGUUGUCCGGAUUUAUUGGGCGUAAAGCGAGCGCAGGCGGUUUCUUAAGUCUGAUGUGAAAGCCCCCGGCUCAACCGGGGAGGGUCAUUGGAAACUGGGAGACUUGAGUGCAGAAGAGGAGAGUGGAAUUCCAUGUGUAGAGGUGAAAUGCGUAGAUAUAUGGAGGAACACCAGUGGCGAAGGCGGCUCUCUGGUCUGUAACUGACGCUGAGGCUCGAAAGCGUGGGGAGCAAACAGG